rnacentral:misc_RNA from 1 species
GAAAUGCGAUAAGUAAUGUGAAUUGCAGAAUUCAGUGAAUCAUCGAAUCUUUGAACGCACAUUGCGCCCGCCAGUAUUCUGGCGGGCAUGCCUGUUCGAGCGUCAUUUCAACCAUCUAGCCCCCGGCUUGUGUUGGGGACCUGCGGCUGCCCGCAGGCCCUGAAAAACAGUGGCGGGCUCGCUGUCACACCGAGCGUAGUAGCAUACAUUCUCGCUCAGGGCGUGCUGCGGGUUCCGGCCGUUAAACGACCUUCAUAACCCAAGGUUGACCUCGGAUCAGGUAGGAAGACCCGCUGAACUUAAGC